AUCCAUGGAAUGCUCUGGGUAUCACAAGGGAUAUCAGUAAAAACUUGCGUGCUGUCCUCAUUGAAGGUGAAUCGCAUUGUGCAGAUAUGGAAGAAAAAAUGGAUAGUGAUUCAGCUGAAUUAAUUCAAGCACGAGAAAAAAUCUUCCGGAUUCUAAAAAAAUGGCUAAAGAAAUAGAUCUCGCUGAAAGAUACAGGCAGCAUAACCCAAAAUCUGGCUCUAAUUCUAUUGCUCAAAUGUAACUUCUUCUGCAAGGGUGAAAUUAAAUCAGAUGUAAAUGUAUAAUUCCUCUAUAUAAGGAUUAAGAUUGUUUUCUUUUAACGAUAAGUCAUCUUGCUCCUCCUUUCUUGCUGAUCUUGAGAAGCAGCAGAGCAUCCCAGCGCACAAGAAAUUAAGCACCCUGGAGGACCUUGUGCAACCAGUUAGUUGGUUGCUGUGGGGACAGAAGCUAUGCAUCCCAGGUUUUCCAGAACAGUCUCUAUUUCAUGAACUCUUAUUCUCUUCAUUAAAGGCCAUUCAUAACUUGCAAAUAUAAA